rnacentral:tRNA from 1 species
GAGGGUAUACCUCAGUGGUAGAAGUAUGUGCUUAGCAUGCACAAGGUCCUAGGUUCAAUCCCCAGUACCUACA